ensembl:snoRNA
CCCUCCUACAAAGGUGUGUCUUUGGAUCCCUGUCUUUGGACACAUAAGAAUUAGAGGAAAAGAAAUAUGAAUUUGGAGAAGUCUUUUCCAAAUUUUCCCCCAUGGAUCGAUCAAUCCCACAUAG